CCUACGGGUGGCAGCAGUGGGGAAUAUUGCGCAAUGGGCGCAAGCCUGACGCAGCGACGCCGCGUGAGGGAUGAAGGUCUUCGGAUCGUAAACCUCUGUCAGCAGGGAAGAACGGUCACUGUGCUAAUCAGCAGUGAAUUGACGGUACCUGCAAAGGAAGCACCGGCUAACUCCGUGCCAGCAGCCGCGGUAAUACGGAGGGUGCGAGCGUUAAUAGGAAUUAUUGGGGGUAAAGCGCUCGUAGGUGGUAUGUCAAGUCAAGGGUGAAAUCCCCGCGCUCAACGGUGGAACUGCCUUUGAUACUGGCAAACUUGAGUGUGUGAGAGGAAAGUGGAAUUCCAGGUGUAGGAGUGAAAUCCUUAGAUAUCUGGAGGAACAUCAGUGGCGAAGGCGACUAUCUGGCACAUAACUGACGCUGAGGAGCGAAAGUGUGGGUAGCAAACAGGAUUAGAUACCCCGGUAGUC
rnacentral:rRNA from 1 species